ACAGUCCGCCGUCGUCGUCGACCAAUCAGUGACCGGCUCGCGUUUUUCGUAUAGGUAAACGACGAUUGCGAUGACCAUUAUUAUUACCUAUAUACCAUACUAUUCUCUCACGACCUGCAAAGCCCUUCUCGGUCAGCUCACUACCGAUUGUCGCGUAUUCGACAUUUGGAAUUCGAGCGGACCGUUGCUUGCUCCUCUACGCACGCUAGACCUAUCGUACCUUUAAGACACUACAGCCGAGCACAUCAUCGCUGGACCUUCACUCUCACGGCACCUACACAUCGCCGCACAACUUGUCGUCGCAGACUCUCCAAGAUGCCGUCGAAAAAGUGUGAAAUUAUCCGAGGAAUGGUUACCAUCAAGCGUUAAGGACACUGACAAAAUCGGACUGAUACAAAUAGGGACUCGACCGCACCGGAAUGAGGAAACGAUCAUAUAAUAUUAUCAUGGAUUGUUGGGAGCACGAACGUCGCGACCUGCAGCUGUACGGCGGAUACCACCGCAGCGAUGACACGGAAAUCGCGUCAUCAAAAGAUAAUAACAAUAUAACAAUAAUUAUUAUUGUUAUAUUAUUAUCAUUAUUAUUGCGACCGAUUUGCUGCAAGUCGACGGUGGCGGCGACGGCGUCUUUCCCACUACAAUAAUAAUAAUAAUAAUAAUAGUAUUAUGUAGCCCGCGCACAAUGAGCAAUAAAAAUUAAUAUCACCGGUUCAAACGGCUCUGUUAAAAUGUCCCGUUUACGACGGCGUUAUCAGUGUUUAAACGGUUGUUAUUACGAGCCAUUUUGUACCAUACAUACAUAACAUAAUAAUAUAUUGUUACACAUACAUAUCACCACCGCAUAUAUAAUAGCUAGUGUGUGUGUAUGUGUUUUUAUUUCUAGACUUUAUUAUUUUCUUUACAGCGUACCGUUUAAGAUUAUUACCAUUUUUUUUUUUUUUUAUAUUUUUAUUAUUGGUUGUAUACACUUAUUAUUAUUAUUAUUAUAUUUACUACGAUCAUAAAUCCCGCUUACAAUGAUUUCAA